GCGCCUGUAGCUCAACUGGAUAGAGCAUCGGAUUUCUAAUCCGAGGGUUGAGGGUUCAACUCCCCCCAGGCGUA
rnacentral:tRNA from 2 species